UACGUAGGGCGCAAGCGUUGUCCGGAAUUAUUGGGCGUAAAGAGCUCGUAGGCGGCUUGUCACGUCGGGUGUGAAAGCCCAGGGCUUAACCCCGGGUCUGCAUUCGAUACGGGCUAGCUAGAGUGUGGUAGGGGAGAUCGGAAUUCCUGGUGUAGCGGUGAAAUGCGCAGAUAUCAGGAGGAACACCGGUGGCGAAGGCGGGUCUCUGGGCAGUAACUGACGCUGAGGAGCGAAAGCGUGGGGAGCGAACAGG
rnacentral:rRNA from 1 species